CCUAUAUUCUGUUUCAGUUGGAAAUAUGUCACAACACUGAAAAGGCGACUGCAACUCCCAGUUCACACUGUAAAUGUUGUUAGAGAUACAAUCAUACGCCCCGAUUAUGUUUACAUGUUUGGCAAUAAAAAAUAAAAUAAAAACAAAAAACUUUUUAAAACUUUUCAAAUAAAUAAAUAAAUAAAUCACACAUACUUUAUAUAGGCUAGGUAUAUAAUUCAUGCAUGUCUCGUCUAAGUAGCUCACAAUUUGCGUUUUUUUAUGUUAUGGUAAUAUUUUACUUUGCGUUACAUUGUAAUGAAUUUUUUUUCUGAUAUUUCUUACAAGGAGCUCUAAAACACUUUAUAUUUCAGUAGAAAUCAUGUUUGUUUUUGAAAGGGUGUAUAUGGGAGAAUGGAGAAACACGCCAUCGGGUGUAGUUCCAAUUAUCCACCAGCAGGGACUUAACAUUUACAGUCACUUCCCGAGCCUCUUUAUUACCGGAAGUGACAAAGAGGCUGGGGAAGUGACUGUAAAUGUGCUCUUACUUUUUUUUUCUCCCGGAAACGGCAAAGCGUUAGAUACCUUCUGUUUUCGCAAAUUAUGUAUUAGCUAAAUGAAUUAUUUCGGGACAACAUGAUCAUCGGAUUCUGUUUCAUCAUUGUGUUUGCGGUGCUGAUAAACAAAGUCUCUCUGCAGCUCACAGUAGAGGUCACAGUAGAGGGUUUCAUCGGUGGUUCUGUUCUCCUGCCGUGUUCUUCAACUCAACAUGAUCUUAAACUUCAAGACACUGAUGUGUUUUGGAGAAACAAAGCUAGUGAGUCUAUUUGUGAUUUAA